rnacentral:rRNA from 1 species
UACGGGGGAUGCAAGCGUUAUCCGGAUUUAUUGGGUUUAAAGGGUGCGUAGGCUGUGAGGUAAGUCAGCGGUGAAAUGCCCCCGCUCAACGGGGUGAAGUGCCAUUGAUACUGCCUUGCUGGAAUGCGGAUGCCGUGGGAGGAACGUGUGGUGUAGCGGUGAAAUGCAUAGAUAUCACACAGAACACCGAUUGCGAAGGCAUCUCACGAAUCCGCGAUUGACGCUGAUGCACGAAAGCGUGGAUAUCAAACAGG